GGACAGGACCAGAGCACCCCUUACGCCAGAACUAGCUCUCCUUGUUCCUACUGGGUGACCUCAUCUCGCCACGCCUCCUCAGGUGAACACCCGGGCUGGUAACGUCACUUCCUGCCAGGUAAGCGCCCCCAGGCAGCACUGCUCACGGAAAGGUCUGGAGGUCAGUUUACCCACCAUCACAAGGCUGUGAGCCGCGAAAAAGACAAAUUUCAUCUCAGUUCACACUCAAGAUUUUAUUUAAAAAUUCCAACCCCCCCCAAAAAAUAGACUUGUACGGUAGCAAUAUAUUAAUAUAUUAUAGCAUAUACUUAAUACAGUAUCAGUUUUAACAUUACAAAAAGAAAAACGGAGUAGACGACCCAAUAUAUAUAAAUACUAUAAAAUCUUAAUACAAUAAAUAAAGUCGUCAUAAAUAAAGGGCCCACUGGUUGGGGGAGAAGGGAUUUGGCAAUGGCUUUGGCUAUUUGCUUUAGGAGGGAAAUUUGAGCACCAGGAUUCUCAGGAGAGGCUUCGACCACCGGACACUGAACUUCAGGGUCUAGUAAAAAUUAGGAUAGUAUUGUGGGAGCCGGCUCUUCACAGCACUUAAGAUUCCAGGAGACCAGAGUUGCAGAGGGGCUGGUGCAUACCUGUAACCCCAGAACUUGGAAAAGGCUAAGGCAGGAUUAUAUUGAGUUCAAAGCCAGCCUGGGGUACCAUAAUAAGCUCCUAUCUCAAAAACAACAGAAGACUUGGGGCCUGGAAGACCAACUGUCAACUGUCUCCCUCAAACAUCUUAGGUACCCUAGGAACGGAUCCACCCAAACACUGAAUUUGCAAACUAGGGACCUGCCCCAGCCCAGCACCAGGGAAAUGGGUUAUUGCAUCUUGGAAUGUCCAGAAGAUGGGACUUAUUAACUUAGAGGAGUGCCCCAGGUCCCCACAGCAAUGAGCAGUCCCUGCCCUCUCUUUGAGAUCUAGCUGAUCCAUACUGGGUAGGUAGGCACUUGUCACUCAGAGACAGAGAUACGAUUGAAGAUGGGGAGACGCCUUGGGGGUGCAGGGGUCUGGGGAGGCCCAAACACCCCUGCCUCAAAGACAGGUGAGUCUGACCCCCCCAGGCUGCUGCCGCUGCUGGCGUAGUCAUCAGGAUCGGAUCCCAGAGAGUGGGCAGAUGGGCUCCGAGCCAGGCCACCCAAGGGCCCCCAGAUGGUGCUGGGGGUAGUAGACCUUCGGCAGGAGGGGCAACAGGCCUGGUUAGGGUCUCUUCGAGUCACAGGGGUCCCAGGGGCAGCAGAGAAGGCAGAAGGGGAAAGUGGAAGAUCCCCAGGGGGCGGUGGGGAGCUGGAAGGCGAAAAGGAACAAGAGGACAGGGAAGGGCCAGAAAAGCCUGGAGGUGGCGGCGAGCUUCUGCGGCCUGAGGGCAAGCCGGAGAAGCUGAUGCUUUGUCGCAGCACAUGGGGCUGGCCAGGGAGAGCUAGGUCCUCGGUGGGGUUGUGGAUGAAGUGGCAUCGAGAGCCAUAGGGGCAGCGGCCCUGGAGGUAGAACUUGUGGCAGAGUUCCGUUUUGUACUUGGGGUGGCGAUUGGCUUGGCGAAGUUCACCCAGGCCGUGAGCAAACUGGCACUUGGCCCCGUAGCGACAACGCCCGCUUUCUGAGUAGGUCCGACAGAGCUCGGUCUUGUAUCGAGAGGAGGUGGUGGGAGUUGCAGUAGGCGAAGUAGGUGAGGGUGACAGCUCAGGGCCUGGGCGGGGAGCCAAAGGUGCAAAACCAGGGGGUGGGGGUACCCAGCCACAGCUUCGGCCCUCCACCAGGCUAGUGGAGCGGCCAGUCAGGCGAGAGGUGACCCCAGACGGGAUGGAGUCCGAGUUUAUGUUCCAAAGUCCUCCGAGGGAUUCGGUUCCUCCGUGGUCGGAUGACAGGUCAUGGCUCAUCGACUGGAGGCUCUGAGAGGAACAGGGUUCGGUUAGGCCACCAGAAAAGGUAAGGUGACGUCGCCCCGCCCCUGUUGUAAAGCACUUCACGAGCUUGCCAGUCCGGUUUGUGGGUUCUCGGCCUGAGCCCCACCCGGCUCACACAAACUCCAGGGAGAACCUGACUACAGAGAUUUGAGUGUUUCCACAUGACUGAAGGUAAUCCAGAAGGAUCUAGGAAGCCCAGUAUCCCCGAUCGAGAGAGGGUUCCCCCCCAAAUCAAAGCACACUGCUGCUCGCCAACUUUGGGCCUCUAGGACUCCCCCCCCCCCCAUAUGACCGCCCACCGGGCGCUCGUUUCACAACUUGAAGGAGCCGGCCAAAGCUGACCCAGGAGGCCAGAUCUCUCUAGAACUCUUACCCUGUCAACUCCCCCCCUACCUCAACCUUAGCACCUGCUUGGCCACCAAACCGCGCCAUGGGCAGCGAAGGGCACUAGACAGGUGUGAUGCCGCUUCCGCCCUACGCGAGUGACAGCAGUGUGCCAGCUUUUCGUCCCAAGGGGAUCGCCGGUAUCUGGACCGAGGCGCUAGGCUCGCUGGCUCCCUCUCUCAUUUCCAGCCAGCCAGGGCUAGUCUGAGAAGGUACGGAGGCGUCCCGGGCCUAAGUUUGGUGCGUCGGGGAUCCCGGGAUGCUGUCUAACAGGUACUCACCUCGUAGAUGGCAGAGAGAUCCAUGGUGGCGCGAAUGGCCUUGGUGAAGAGACCGACUGUCGGUUCGCAGAAGUCAGGCUGUGGCCCGCAGCAGGAGCUUUCUCCUUUUAUGGGGCGGCCUGGGGGCGUGGCCACUAGAGCUUCCGGGACGCGCCCCCGCGGCGUAGCUCGGCCGGCCUGGUACUAGGCCCCUUCCGCCUAUCUGCUGGUUAGCAUGCAAAAUGUGCCUGAACUUGGCCCUCCCGCAGCUCCGGCCCCUCUCGGGGGGUAGUAGGGAGGGUUGUGUACGACCAACUGGAGGUGAUGGUAGCGGGGCGUCCUAGUGUUUUUCAGAGGUGGAAGGCAGUCGGGAAGAGAACUGGGGCAGAAGUGGGGGCAGGGCUCUAGGGACAAUUGACAAGGGCAGAGACUGAGGGCGUGUGCGUGUGAGACAGACGGGGGCGGGGAGAGACAAGUUGGAAGAGACAGAGAUGGCCAGAAGCCGAGAGAAAAACAAAGAGACAGUGAGAGACAUUCACAAGUAGGAUCUGCUGGUUUAGGACUGUGAUUCCGGCCCCUCAGGGAGGCUGAGGCAGGAGACUGGUAGUUCAAGGCCUGGCUCCACUAUACAGUGGGUUCUAGGGCAGCUUGAGUAACUUGGUGAGACCCUUUUCUUAGGAAGUAAAAAGAUGCCAGAUCACUGAUGGCCCAAACUUUUAAUUUCAGCACUUUGUAGACCAGGCUGGCCUUGAACUCAGAAAUCCGCCUGCCUCUGCCUCCGGAGUGCUGGGAUCAAAGGCGUGUGUCACCAUGCUCGGCUGAGAAACCCUGUCUUGAAAAACAAAACAAAAGACAAGACAGUGGCAUAUGGUUGUAAUCUUGGCAUUUGGAGGUGGAGGAAGGGGGAUCAGGCGUUCAAUGUCAGACUAAGCUAUUGAUUGAGUUCCAGGUCCUACUUUU
rnacentral:lncRNA from 1 species